AGGAUGAACGCUAGCGGCAGGCUUAAUACAUGCAAGUCGAGGGGCAGCAGGACUGUAGCAAUACAGUUGCUGGCGACCGGCAAACGGGUGCGGAACACGUACGCAACCUUCCUUUAAGUGAGGAAUAGCCCAGGGAAACUUGGAUUAAUACCUCGUAAUAUUUAAGAGUGGCAUCACUCUUUAAUUAUAGCUCAGGCGCUUAAAGAUGGGCUGCGACUGAUUAGGUAGUUGGCGGGGUAACGGCCCACCAAGCCUGCGAUCAGUAACUGGUGUGAGAGCACGACCAGUCACACGGGCACU
rnacentral:rRNA from 1 species